rnacentral:lncRNA from 1 species
AUUACUGAAAUCUUCACAAUUUUAGCAUUUUAGUUAAAUUUUAGACGGUUUCUGUCUUAAAUGAAAGUGGCCGCAUUCGUGUUCAUUCAUAAUAUUGAAAUGUAAGUUGUAUUUGAUGAUAUUUCAUAACAUAUAUAAAGGUUGAGGAUGAACACGGAUGCGGCCACUUUCAAUUUUGACAAAAACCAUCUGAAAAGUGACGUUUUUUGGCAUAUUUGAUAGAUUUUUCAUAUUUAAGCUUGAAUCGGAGCGUUUUUAAUGACUAAAUCAGUUAAAAUCUUUCACAUAAAUUAAUUGAAUUAAUUGAAAUAGAC